rnacentral:tRNA from 1 species
GUUUCCAUAGUGUAGUGGUUAUCACGUUAAGCCUCAAUGAAAGGUCCCCAGUUCGAAACUGGGUGGAAACA